CGCGGCCUAUCAGCUUGUUGGUGGGGUAACGGCCUACCAAGGCGACGACGGGUAGCUGGUCUGAGAGGACGAUCAGCCACACUGGGACUGAGACACGGCCCAGACUCCUACGGGAGGCAGCAGUAAGGAAUCUUGCGCAAUGGGGGAAACCCUGACGCAGCGACGCCGCGUGCGGGAUGAAGGCCUUCGGGUCGUAAACCGCUUUCAGCAGGGACGAAAUUGACGGUACCUGCAGAAGAAGGCCCGGCCAACUACGUGCCAGCAGCCGCGGUGAUACGUAGGGGUCUAGCGUUGUCCGGAAUUAUUGGGCGUAAAGAGCUCGUAGGCGGUUCGGCAAGUCGGAUGUGAAAUCUCCACGCUUAACGUGGAGGGGCCAUUCGAAACUGCCGUGACUCGAGUCCGGUAGGGGAGUGCGGAAUUCCCGGUGUAGCGGUGAAAUGCGCAGAUAUCGGGAGGAACACCAGUGGCGAAGGCGGCACUCUGGGCCGGAACUGACGCUGAGGAGCGAAAGCGUGGGGAGCGAACAGGAUUAGAUACCCUGGUAGUCCACGCCGUAAACGUUGGGCACUAGGUGUGGGGCUCUAUCGACGGGUUCCGUGCCGUAGCUAACGCAUUAAGUGCCCCGCCUGGGGAGUACGG
rnacentral:rRNA from 1 species